UACAGAGGGUGCAAGCGUUGUUCGGAAUUAUUGGGCGUAAAGCGCGUGUAGGCGGCUUGGCAAGUCGGGUGUGAAAUCCCUCAGCUUAACUGAGGAAGUGCGCCCGAAACUGCUUUGCUUGAGUGCCGGAGAGGAUGGCGGAAUUCCCCAAGUAGAGGUGAAAUUCGUAGAUAUGGGGAGGAACACCGGUGGCGAAGGCGGCCAUCUGGACGGUAACUGACGCUGAGACGCGAAAGCGUGGGGAGCAAGCAGG
rnacentral:rRNA from 1 species